UGGGGCGAAAGCGGCCCAGAGCGGCAGGAGGUGUGAAGGCUUUAUUCCUUCACCUCACUUGUAUUCACUGGGAGCCCGUUAUGUGUCGAGAUCUGAGAGCGAAGGCUUCAUUUUACAGGUCUCUCCAAAAGAAAUGGAAAAAGGCUCAAAGUGAAAUGGUUUACCCAAGGCCACAGAAAAGGUUGAUGGCAGAGGAAGGAGAAUUACUUAAGCUUUCCUAAUUCCUACCUGAGCUCUUCACCCGACCCCCACCCUUACCACUCAAUACCUGCCCAAGUGGAGUUGCCUCAUGGUCACUGUACC